AUGCUGAUGUUCUAUGUGCUAUGUGCUGUUUUCAGAAAACAGGAUGAGAGGAACUCGUCGAUCUGCACGAUUGACUGGAGUGCCACCUGAGGAUGAGGGCAUGAGCGCCCGUCCUCCAGCAUUGCCUAGGGCAAUGUCAAGUAGGUCCAACAGGGACCGAACAGUGAGAGACCCUAGAAGGUCUUUAGAUCUGGGAAGAAGCAGAUCAGUACGAGGAACCGUUCAAGGUGGCAUGUCAGAAGAUGUGGGAGAUGACAUGGAUGUGGACC
rnacentral:lncRNA from 1 species